UCGAUUCCCUUAGUAGCGGCGAGCGAAACGGGAAGAGCCCAAACCAACAAGCUUGCUUGUUGGGGUUGUAGGACACUCUAUACGGAGUUACAAAGGACGACAUUAGACGAAUCAUCUGGAAAGAUGAAUCAAAGAAGGUAAUAAUCCUGUAGUCGAAAAUGUUGUCUCUCUUGAGUGGAUCCUGAGUACGACGGAGCACGUGAAAUUCCGUCGGAAUCUGGGAGGACCAUCUCCUAAGGCUAAAUACUCUCUAGUGACCGAUAGUGAACCAGUACCGUGAGGGAAAGGUGAAAAGCACCCCGGAAGGGGAGUGAAAUAGAACCUGAAACCGUGUGCUUACAAGUAGUCAGAGCCCGUUAAUGGGUGAUGGCGUGCCUUUUGUAGAAUGAACCGGCGAGUUACGAUUUGAUGCAAGGUUAAGCAGUAAAUGUGGAGCCGUAGCGAAAGCGAGUCUGAAUAGGGCGUUUAGUAUUUGGUCGUAGACCCGAAACCAGGUGAUCUACCCUUGGUCAGGUUGAAGUUCAGGUAACACUGAAUGGAGGACCGAACCGACUUACGUUGAAAAGUGAGCGGAUGAACUGAGGGUAGCGGAGAAAUUCCAAUCGAACCUGGAGAUAGCUGGUUCUCUCCGAAAUAGCUUUAGGGCUAGCCUCAAGUGAUGAUUAUUGGAGGUAGAGCACUGUUUGGACGAGGGGCCCCUCUCGGGUUACCGAAUUCAGACAAACUCCGAAUGCCAAUUAAUUUAACUUGGGAGUCAGAACAUGGGUGAUAAGGUCCGUGUUCGAAAGGGAAACAGCCCAGACCACCAGCUAAGGUCCCAAAAUAUAUGUUAAGUGGAAAAGGAUGUGGCGUUGCCCAGACAACUAGGAUGUUGGCUUAGAAGCAGCCAUCAUUUAAAGAGUGCGUAAUAGCUCACUAGUCGAGUGACACUGCGCCGAAAAUGUACCGGGGCUAAACAUAUUACCGAAGCUGUGGAUUGUCCUUUGGACAAUGGUAGGAGAGCGUUCUAAGGGCGUUGAAGCAUGAUCGUAAGGACAUGUGGAGCGCUUAGAAGUGAGAAUGCCGGUGUGAGUAGCGAAAGACGGGUGAGAAUCCCGUCCACCGAUUGACUAAGGUUUCCAGAGGAAGGCUCGUCCGCUCUGGGUUAGUCGGGUCCUAAGCUGAGGCCGACAGGCGUAGGCGAUGGAUAACAGGUUGAUAUUCCUGUACCACCUAUAAUCGUUUUAAUCGAUGGGGGGACGCAGUAGGAUAGGCGAAGCGUGCGAUUGGAUUGCACGUCUAAGCAGUAAGGCUGAGUAUUAGGCAAAUCCGGUACUCGUUAAGGCUGAGCUGUGAUGGGGAGAAGACAUUGUGUCUUCGAGUCGUUGAUUUCACACUGCCGAGAAAAGCCUCUAGAUAGAAAAUAGGUGCCCGUACCGCAAACCGACACAGGUAGUCAAGAUGAGAAUUCUAAGGUGAGCGAGCGAACUCUCGUUAAGGAACUCGGCAAAAUGACCCCGUAACUUCG
rnacentral:rRNA from 1 species